rnacentral:rRNA from 1 species
UUUAAAUUGCUCGGUGUUCAGUAUGACUCAAUUUGGUCCUUGGUUAUUUUUGUUAUCUGCAUGUUUGGUGUAGGCCUCAUACUUGAAGUGGUUACAAAAUCAAUUUUCGUGUUGUCUACCCGAAAUAUGACGGAAAAAACAAAGAUACUUCUUAUCCGGAUUAUUAUUGAAUUCACAUCGAAUUGGCUUGUCCUGUUUACCGUGGACGAGUUGAUGAAUAGUAUUACGCUUUCUGUGCAAACAGAGGUUGUGAUUGCAGCAUUGCUUACCGCAAUCGAAAUUAUUUUUGAUGAUGACGACAAAGAGGAUGAAGAAACAAUAAAUGAAACGAGGAACUAAAUAUGAUCGGUUUACUUAAUGUUGGCAGUCUCAUGCUUGGACUGAUUGCGUGGAUACUUCCUGCUCUUGGCUGCUUAUUAUUUAUGCUCACUAAGUUAUUUAAAAAAUUUGAUGACAUUACAGUUAAAAACAAAUUAAUAUUAUCCAUUCCUGCUUUUAUUAUAACGGUAUUCUUUCUGGGGAUUAUAUUAUCGAGUUUUGAUAUACAAUAAUCUUCUAAACUGGAGAAGCAUUCGAAUGAAACAAAUAAGAAUAUUAAAAUGAGCUAUAAAAAAAGAAUCUAGUUUAUUAAUGUAUUUAUAAGUCUAUACAAGAAAUAUGUAGUCUCUAAUUAAUCGAGAUUCAAGAUAAUGCCAAAUACAUUCGAAUAAAGAAAUUCAAAGCCAAUUAAAGCAAUGGGUUGCUGAUUCCUCUAAUUUUAUAUACCUGUUUUAAUGUGCGAAAGUAAGGUGUUAUAUGUUAUUUAAUUAAGCUGCAAACUAUACUGGUACCAUUAUCUGCGUAAUAUUAACAGAGUGAAAAAGGAAUUUAAUUACGCAUAAAAGAAUGCUGCGAUAACUAGCUAUUUGAUAGAGUGGAUAAAAAAAUUAAAAAAAUGAUUGCUUUUUAGUUUGAUAGUAUGGUAUGAUUCUUUUUGUGCUUUUGAAAAGGCGAUAACAACUAAAGAAAACUUUUAAAAAAAGUUAUUGACAAUAAAUUCAAUGCAUGAUAUAUUAGUUUGGUCGCUGUUUUUAAAAGCGACAAAGAAAUUGCUCUUUGAAAACUGAACAAAACAACCAGUACGAAAGAAGAAAAACACCUCGUUUUUCUUGAAUAUUUAAGUCAGAAGUUGACUUCUGAAAGCUAAAGAAUACAAACACUUUUAUGGAGAGUUUGAUCUUGGCUCAGGACGAACGCUGGCGGCGUGCCUAAUACAUGCAAGUCGAGCGCGGGAAGCGGACAGAACUCUUCGGAGGGACGUUCGUGGAACGAGCGGCGGACGGGUGAGUAACACGUAGGCAACCUGCCUGUAAGACUGGGAUAACUCGCGGAAACGCGAGCUAAUACCGGAUAAUACUUAUGAUCUCCUGAUGAUAAGUUGAAAGGCGGUUUUUGCUGUCACUUACAGAUGGGCCUGCGGCGCAUUAGNGGGGAGGGAAAUAGAGUACCGAAGUUCCUGAUUUCACACUGCCAAGAAAAGCCUCUAGUUAGAUCAUAGGUGCCCGUACCGCAAACCGACACAGGUAGGCGAGGAGAGAAUCCUAAGGUGAGCGGGAGAACUCUCGUUAAGGAACUCGGCAAAAUGACCCCGUAACUUCGGGAGAAGGGGUGCUCACUUGUGAGUGAGCCGCAGUGAAUAGGCCCAAGCGACUGUUUAGCAAAAACACAGGUCUCUGCGAAGCCGAAAGGCGAAGUAUAGGGGCUGACACCUGCCCGGUGCUGGAAGGUUAAGGGGAAGAGUUAGCUCUUCGGAGCGAAGCUUUGAACCGAAGCCCCAGUAAACGGCGGCCGUAACUAUAACGGUCCUAAGGUAGCGAAAUUCCUUGUCGGGUAAGUUCCGACCCGCACGAAAGGUGCAACGACUUGGGCACUGUCUCAACGAGAGACCCGGUGAAAUUAUACUAUGCGUGAAGAUGCGCAUUACCCGCGACAGGACGGAAAGACCCCGUGGAGCUUUACUGUAGCCUGAUAUGGAAUGUUUGUGCAGUUUGUACAGGAUAGGUGGGAGCCUUUGAAGCGUGAGCGCCAGCUUACGUGGAGGCACCCGUGGGAUACCACCCUAACUGUAUGACCAUUCUAACCCAGGACCGUAAUCCGGUUCGGAGACAGUGUCAGGCGGGCAGUUUGACUGGGGCGGUCGCCUCCUAAAAGGUAACGGAGGCGCCCAAAGGUUCCCUCAGAAUGGUUGGAAAUCAUUCGUAGAGUGUAAAGGCAGAAGGGAGCUUGACUGCGAGACCUACAAGUCGAGCAGGGACGAAAGUCGGGCUUAGUGAUCCGGUGGUUCCGCAUGGAAGGGCCAUCGCUCAACGGAUAAAAGCUACCCCGGGGAUAACAGGCUUAUCUCCCCCAAGAGUUCACAUCGACGGGGAGGUUUGGCACCUCGAUGUCGGCUCAUCGCAUCCUGGGGCUGUAGUCGGUCCCAAGGGUUGGGCUGUUCGCCCAUUAAAGCGGUACGCGAGCUGGGUUCAGAACGUCGUGAGACAGUUCGGUCCCUAUCCGUCGUGGGCGUUGGAAGUUUGAGAGGAGCUGUCCUUAGUACGAGAGGACCGGGAUGGACACACCGCUGGUGUACCAGUUGUUCCGCCAGGAGCAUAGCUGGGUAGCUACGUGUGGAAAGGAUAAGUGCUGAAAGCAUCUAAGCAUGAAGCCCCCCUCAAGAUGAAACUUCCCAUCACUUCAAGUGAGUAAAAUCCCUCAGAGACGAUGAGGUUGAUAGGUCCGAGGUGGAAGCGUGGCGACACGUGCAGCUGACGGAUACUAAUCGAUUGAGGACUUAUCU